UCGAAAAUUCAAUCUUCUCUUUAAAAUAUCUUUCCAAAUAUUAGAUCUCCUUUUUUUGCGACAAUUUUAAUAAAAACCUCGUUCAACUAUUGGUGGAUAAAAAUUAUAAAAAACGUGAACACCAUUAAGUAUACACAGGAAUAAAAUCACAAUUACAAUAAACAAUAAUUACAAAUAACAAGAAUAAAAAGAACCUGGAGGAAAAAAAUUGAAAAAGUGAUAAAAACAAUUGAUCUGAUUGGAUUCUCUUAAAUGUUGCUAUAUUAGCUUUUGCAACAACCUAAGGUCAAUGUGCGAUAAUGCUGCUUGGUGUUCUCGCUAGUAAUGUCACUUUAGAAGCGCUAAUCGCAUUUUCUAGAGCACUGAGUGUCGAUGAUACAGCGAAUGAUAGUAAUCAUCGCUCGAUGAAGCUUUCUGAUUCUACAUUCUUCAUUGUGCAACGCAGUGUACGUCGGUGAUCAGAAGAGGAGCUGAGGCGAGAUCCAGGCACGAAGCGACCAGGACCGUGUAGCUGCAGCGAGGAUGUUUUAAUCUGUGUCGUAUACAUCAGGAAACAAACUCUGUUUCCCCAAAAGAAACUAUCACAAACUGUUCUCAUCUAUAUUCGUUUCUUUCAUUUUUUCGUUUUUCUGUUUCAUUUAUCCAUCCAAGUGUUCGAGGGCUUACGCACUGCAAUUAUUUCGAUGAAUUCAUUUAUUACGAUUUAGAAGAUUAUUUGUAUCGUGUAUCUGUGAAUUCUAUCUUUUAUAUUUCAUAUAUUCUUUAUCUGUUUUCUUUUUCCUUUAAAUUUUUCUAAGACAAUAAUAAAAAUGGAACUUAUUAGGAUCAACGGGAAUUAUACCAUGCACUGUAAUACACAUUGGUAUUAAUACAAUAACCAAUAAUGAAUAAAAUAAAAAUAAUUCGUUGAUUAUUUCGAUAUAAGAGUAUCUGGACGUAAUUAUAAAUUGAAAUUAAAUAAUAGAAAAAAAAGAGAGAUACAGAUAGAUGUAUAUAACGUAUAUAACGUAUGUAGGAGUCGGUCUACUAUGUACAAGGCGCUCAGACAAAAAUCUUCAGCACUGAAUAUCAAUGGAGAAAAACUGUACAAGAGUCUUAACAACGGUGUACAUCAAAAUGACAGGAUGCUCAUCACACAAGAGAUACACAUCUGUGAUAAAGGGUGAUAGAAAACUGUAAGAAAAAAGAGUAAUGUGAGCGAAGGAGCUGAAACUCGACAUUACCUCCUUGCUCCGGUGUUCUGCUCUGUCGACCCGCGGCCUGCUCUAUGAUAUCGUUCAGCACCAUCACG
rnacentral:misc_RNA from 1 species